GCUGAACAGAUGCUUCAAGGCUGUGUAUUGAUGCCAAAAGGAUGCUUAGGAGGUGACAGCAGUGUCCUCCAGGGGCCAUGAUGUUGGUGAUGAGUACCUGGACUACUCGCUCAAGCUGGACCAAUUAGUGCCCAUUUCUGGAAAAGGAGGAACUGAACAGAAAGAUGUGAGGCCUGCAAUAGGUCAACUGCUAUGUUUUCAACGACGAGGGCAGGAGAAGCAGAUAAAACUGGCUUCUGAGAGAAGGAGAAAGAAGAGCAUAAAGCCAUGCAGAAGGGAGCAAAGAUACGAACCCUCCUGGUGACUGAGAACCUGAAGCCAGCUUGCUUCAGCAACUUCUUCGUACCUUUAUAUAAAGGUCAUCCAUGCACCUUUACACUAAGUGCCUAUAUUCUGUCUAAUAUCUCUUUUUGGCUUCUGUUGCUUAUAAUCAGAAGAAUCCUAGUUAAUAGUGGAGUUCUGCAUUUCUGUGUCCUCCACAGUACCUACUCCAUAGCAGAGCCUCCUUCCCAGGAGAUGUUCAAUAAAUGCUUGCUAAGUUGAACAACAGAAGACUCUGGUUCCUCUGACAGUACCUUCACAGUGCUCACCUGGCCUCUGAUGGGGCAGGGCUUCUAUCUCACACCUACCCCACAGAUGGUCAGCUCCACAGUGGACUCCUCUUCUUCAUGGCAACUCUGAAGACUUGGUAGGUCUUUUCUUCUGAGCUAGACAUCGCAAGAAGGCCCACUUUGAGAAUUUCCUUUCCGCGAUCACCCUCCUCAGGACAAAAUGCCAUUUCUCACUGUCUCUCUUAGAACCCAGUAUCCCAAGUGGAUUCUUUGGACUUCAAGCUCCUUUGUCACUUGUGUAAUAGGCAGAGCUGG